AGAGUUUGAUCCUGGCUCAGGAUGAACGCUGGCGGUCUGCUUUAACACAUGCAAGUCGAACGGAACUCUUCGGAGUUUAGUGGCGGACGAGUGAGUAACGCGUGGGAAUCUGCCUUCAGGUUGGGGACAACAGUUGGAAACGACUGCUAAUACCCAAUGUGCCGAGAGGUGAAAGCUUUAGUGCCUGAAGAUGAGCUCGCGUCUGAUUAGCUAGUUGGUGAGGUAAUGGCUUACCAAGGCGACGAUCAGUAGCUGGUCUGAGAGGAUGAUCAGCCACACUGGGACUGAGACACGGCCCAGACUCCUACGGGAGGCAGCAGUGGGGAAUUUUCCGCAAUGGGCGCAAGCCUGACGGAGCAAGACCGCGUGAGGGAGGAAGGCUCUUGGGUUGUAAACCUCUUUUAUCAGGGAAGAAGAUCUGACGGUACCUGAUGAAUCAGCAUCGGCUAACUCCGUGCCAGCAGCCCCGGUAAUACGGAGGAUGCAAGCGUUAUCCGGAUUUAUUGGGCGUAAAGCGUCCGCAGGUGGUUUUUCAAGUCUGCUGUUAAAGCGCAGAGCUUAACUCUGUAACGGCGGUGGAAACUGAGAGACUAGAGUAUGGUAGGGGUUGCGGGAAUUCCCAGUGUAGCGGUGAAAUGCGUAGAUAUUGGGAAGAACACCAGCGGCGAAAGCGCGCGACUGGGCCAUUACUGACACUCAUGGACGAAAGCUAGGGGAGCGAAAGGGAUUAGAUACCCCUGUAGUC
rnacentral:rRNA from 1 species